rnacentral:rRNA from 1 species
GACGAACGCUGGCGGCGUGCCUAAUACAUGCAAGUCGAGCGAAUCAUUAGGAGCUUGCUCCUGAUGGUUAGCGGCGGACGGGUGAGUAACACGUGGGCAACCUGCAUAUAAGACUGGGAUAACUUCGGGAAACCGGAGCUAAUACCGGAUAAUCCUUUUCCUCUCACGAGGAAGAGUUGAAAGACGGUUUCGGCUGUCCAUCAUAGAUGGGCAUGCGGCGCAUUAGCUAGUUGGUGAGGUAACGGCUCACCAAGGCGACGAUGCGUAGCCGACCUGAGAGGGUGAUCGGCCACACUGGGACUGAGACACGGCCCAGACUCCUACGGGAGGCAGCAGUAGGGAAUCUUCCGCAAUGGACGAAAGUCUGACGGAGCAACGCCGCGUGAACGAUGAAGGCCUUCGGGUCGUAAAGUUCUGUUGUUAGGGAAGAACAAGUAUCGGAGUAACUGCCGGUACCUUGACGGUACCUAACCAGAAAGCCACGGCUAACUACGUGCCAGCCGCCGCAGUAACAC